GAUGAACGCUGGCGGCGUGCCUAAUACAUGCAAGUCGAACGCACAGCGAAAGGUGCUUGCACCUUUCAAGUGAGUGGCGAACGGGUGAGUAACACGUGGAUAACCUACCUCAAGGUUGGGGAUAACAUUUGGAAACAGAUGCUAAUACCGAAUAAAACUUAGUAUCGCAUGAUACCAGGUUAAAAGGCGCUACGGCGUCACCUAGAGAUGGAUCCGCGGUGCAUUAGUUAGUUGGUGGGUAAAGGCUUACAAGACAAUGAUGCAUAGCCGAGUUGAGAGACUGAUCGGCCACAUUGGGACUGAGACACGGCCC
rnacentral:rRNA from 1 species